rnacentral:rRNA from 1 species
CAUCGUUUAAAGAAAAAAUUUUAAAUACCGCCUGCCCACUGAUUUAAAGGGCCGCAGUAUACUGACUGUGCAAAGGUAGCAUAAUCAUUUGUCUUUUAAUUGAAGGCUUGUAUGAAUGGCGAGACGGGGUGGAAACUGUUCCAAACUUAUAAACUUAAUUUAAUUAGUAAGUCAAAAAGCUUACAUUGACCCGCAGGACGAGAAGACCCCAUAGAGCUUGAUAAUGUAAACAUAAUUUUAUUUAGAAAUUAAUUGGUAUAUGAUUUAAAUUUAUUUGGUUGGGGCGACUUGAAGUAAUAAAACACUUUAAAAAUAAACUUUAAUAGAAGGAUUUUGGAUCCUGUAAUGAUUAAAAAAUUAAGCUACCUUGGGGAUAACAGCGUAAUCUAGUUUUAGAGUUCUUAUCAAAUACUAGGAUUGCGACCUCGAUGUUGGAUUAAGAUUCAUUUUAGGUGUAGCAGUCUAAUAAUGGGGUCUGUUCGACCUUUAAAAUCUUACAUGA